rnacentral:rRNA from 1 species
GACGAACGCUGGCGGCGUGCUUAACACAUGCAAGUCGAACGGAAAGGCACUGCUUUUGUGGGGUGCUCGAGUGGCGAACGGGUGAGUAACACGUGUGUAACCUGCCCUUGACUUUGGGAUAACUUCAGGAAACUGGGGCUAAUACCGGAUAGGAGCUCCUGCAGCAUGGUGGGGGUUGGAAAGUUUCGGCGGUUGGGGAUGGACUCGCGGCUUAUCAGCUUGUUGGUGGGGUAGUGGCUUACCAAGGCUUUGACGGGUAGCCGGCCUGAGAGGGUGACCGGCCACAUUGGGACUGAGGUACGGCCCAGACUCCUACGGGAGGCAGCAGUGGGGAAUAUGGCACAAUGGGCGGAAGCCUGAUGCAGCAACGCCGCGUGCGGGAUGACGGCCUUCGGGGUGUAAACCGCUUUCGCCUGUGACGAAGCGUGAGUGACGGUAAUGGGUAAAGAAGCACCGGCUAACUACGUG